CAGCCCCUCGAGUGGUGGGGAUGAUUAUUUGGCCUAAAGCGUCCGUAGCCGGCCCUGUAAAUCUCUCGUUAAAUCCAACGUCCUAAGCGUUGGGCUGCGAGGGAAACUGCAGAGCUAGAGGGUGGGAGAGGUCAGCGGUAUUCCUGGGGUAGGGGCGAAAUCCAUUGAUCCCAGGAGGACCACCAGUGGCGAAGGCUGCUGACUUGAACACGCCUGACGGUGAGGGACGAAAGCUGGGGUAGCGAAUCGGAUUAGAUACCCUGGUAGUCC
rnacentral:rRNA from 1 species